rnacentral:siRNA from 1 species
ACCGCCGGAUACACCUGAUGGCGA